AACGAACGCUGGCGGCAUGCCUAACACAUGCAAGUCGAACGAGACCUUCGGGUCUAGUGGCGCACGGGUGCGUAACGCGUGGGAACCUGCCCUUAGGUUCGGAAUAACUCCCCGAAAGGGGUGCUAAUACCGGAUAAUGUCUUCGGACCAAAGAUUUAUCGCCUUUGGAUGGGCCCGCGUCGGAUUAGCUAGUUGGUAGGGUAAAAGCCUACCAAGGCGACGAUCCAUAGCUGGUCUGAGAGGAUGAUCAGCCACACUGGGACUGAGACACGGCCCAGACUCCUACGGGAGGCAGCAGUGGGGAAUAUUGGACAAUGGGCGAAAGCCUGAUCCAGCAAUGCCGCGUGAGUGAUGAAGGCCUUAGGGUUGUAAAGCUCUUUUACCCGGGAUGAUAAUGACAGUACCGGGAGAAUAAGCUCCGGCUAACUCCG
rnacentral:rRNA from 1 species